rnacentral:rRNA from 1 species
CUGAACCAGCAACUUGGAAGAAGGUAUAGCAAUAGCUAAUUGUAUUAGCAAAUAGUUUUUACAAUAUCGAUUUAAUCGACUAAAAUUCUAGGUAGAUUUAUGAUGAUGACAUUAUCUAUCUAUGUGUCUUGACCAAAUUUCGUGCCAGCAGUCGCGGUAAGACGUAAGAGACUAGUGUUAUUCAUCUUUAAUAGGUUUAAAGCGUACCUAGACGGUAAUUAAAGCCUAUAUCAGGAACUUGUUUACUAGAGUUAAAUGUAAGGGUGUAUUAAAGUACUGUUGAGUGUAGAGAUGAAAUUCGUUGAUACCAAAUAAUUGGCACAGGUAUAGGCGAAAGCAUCACUUUAUGUAAUAACUGACGUUGACGGACGAAGGCUUUGUGUCGCGAACAGGAUUAGAUACCCCAGUAGUCUUAGCAGAAAACUAUGAGUGUCAUAGGUUAGAUUUUAUUUGGUCUAUAAAUGAAAGUGUAAGCACUCCACCUCAAGAGUAAUUUGGCAACAUUGGAACUGAAAUCAUUAGACCGUUUCUGAAACCAGUAGUGAAGUAUGUUGUUUAAUUUGAUAAUCCGCAAAGAACCUUACCACAAUUUGAAUAUAAAUGAUUUAUUUUUACAAGCGUUGCACGGCUGUCUUCAGUUAAUGUCGUGAGAUAUUGGUUUAUUCCAUUAAAUUAACGUAAACCCGUACUUUAUUUUUAUAUAAAGUUGUUCAUUCGCUAUAAUGGAUGUGAUAACAGGGACUAAGACAAGUCAUCAUG